rnacentral:rRNA from 1 species
AAGACCUUGCGCUUUUGGAGCGGCCGAUGCCUGAUUAGCUUGUUGGUAAGGUAAAAGCUUACCAAGGCUUCGACCAGUAGCUGGUCUGAGAGGACGGCCAGCCACACUGGGACUGAGACACGGCCCAGACUCCUACGGGAGGCAGCAGUGGGGAAUUUUGGACAAUGGGGGCAACCCUGAUCCAGCCAUGCCGCGUGAGUGAAGAAGGCCUUCGGGUUGUAAAGCUCUUUCAGCCGGAACGAAACGGUUACGGUUAAUACCCGUGAUUACUGACGGUACCGGAAGAAGAAGCACCGGCUAACUACGUGCCAGCAGCCGCGGUAAUACGUAGGGUGCGAGCGUUAAUCGGAAUUACUGGGCGUAAAGCGUGCGCAGGUGGUUUUGUAAGUCAGAUGUGAAAGCCCCGGGCUCAACCUGGGAACU